UGAUCCCUACGGGGGGCAGCAGUGAGGAAUAUUGGUCAAUGGGCUUACGCCUGAACCAGCCAAGUCGCGUGAGGGAAGACUGCCCUAUGGGUUGUAAACCUCUUUUGUCAGGGAGCAACGCCGGCUACGUGUAGCCGGACUGAGAGUACCUGAAGAAAAAGCAUCGGCUAACUCCGUGCCAGCAGCCGCGGUAAUACGUAGGGUGCGAGCGUUAAUCGGAAUUACUGGGCGUAAAGGGUGUGCAGGCGGCUGAGUAAGACAGAUGUGAAAUCCCCGGGCUUAACCUGGGAACCGCAUAUGUGACU
rnacentral:rRNA from 1 species